GGGGAUGUAGCUUAGUAGUAAAGUACUUGCCUACCAUGUGUGAGGCCCUGGGUUUGAUCCCAAGCAUGUCCU
rnacentral:tRNA from 1 species